GAAUACUAACCAACGUAAUAAUUAUAAUAUCAAAAUAAAAAAAAGAUAUUUGUUUUCUUACUUCUAUAUAACUUUUCAUUAUUUGAAUAAAGCCCCCCCCCCCCCCCCCCCUCAAUUGGGAGACAUGUUAAUUUUGUUUGUAUGUCAGAUAUUUGGCCGUCACACUUGCAUUCUGUUUAAAAUCAUGAGAAUCGUUCAUUACAGAGCUUUCAUAUUUCAUGUGUGUACGGGUACAAGACCAUCGGUGAUUAUGUGCUCAGUAGGUCUAUGUCACAUGGGUCACAUUUUUUAGACGUAAAUGAAACUUAUAUACAAACUAUUCGAUUAUAUAACCGAUAUAAUUGAUAUAACUUCAUACGAUUGCUCAGCAACAUCAGACACUGUCUUGAGUGAAAUAUUCCAAGGCUCAGUCAAUCAGAAAGUCGUAUUAUGAUUUCUUUUAGAAGAGUAUUAAUCUAUGAAUAUUGUCAUGCCUACACGUUCAGGGGGACGAAUUGGCAUGUAGAUGUGCCCUUUUAUAUUGUUCUGGCCGACCGUCAGUUUUGUGUCGCACGUAACAUGAAAGGUACAUUUUCUUAAGUGAUUUAUUUGUACAUACAUAUUUAUCAGCAUGUUAGCUGUGUAAUAGCUUGUGACCAUAUGCUGAGUUAAGGCCCUCUGUCAACAAACUAAGACAUAACAGUUUGUUUGGUGCCUUUUUUAAAUUAAGCUGGGUUAUGGACCUAAUUAAGCAAGUUAAAUCACUUUUUAUACGCCCGUAUAAAAUACGGGACGUAUUAUGUGAAACCCCUUGGCGGGCGGGCGGGCGGCGGGCGGAAGGCAUCACUUUGUCCGGACUCUAAUUCAAAUUGUAUUCAUCCGAUCUUCACCAAACUUGGUCAGCAGUUGCAUCUAGUUGAUAUCUAGGCCAAGUUCGAAUAUGGGUCAUGCCGGGUCAAAAACUAGGUCAUAGGGUCAAUUAGUGCAUUUUCAACGGCGCCACUUUGUCCGGACUCUAAUUCAAAUAGUUUUCAUCCGAUCUUCACCAAACUUGCUCAACUGUUGAGUCUAGACAAUAUCUAGGCCAAGUUGGAAUAUGGGUCAUGCCGGGUCAAAAACUAGGUCAUGGGGUCACUUAGUGCAUUUCAAGGAUUUCAUGGUGUCCGCUCUCUAAAUGAAGUAGUUUUCACCCGAUCUUCACCAAAUUUGGUCAAAAGUUGUGUCUAUAUGAUAUGUAGGUCAGGUUUAAAUAUGGGUCAUGCCGGGUCAAAAACUAGGUCACGAGGUUACUUAGUGCAUUUCAAGCAUUUAGCAUGGUGUCCGCUCUCUAAUUGAAGUAGUUUUCAUCUGAUCUUCACCUAAUUUGGUUACAAGUUGUGUCUAGAUGAUAUGUAGGUCAAGUUCGAAUAUGGGUCAUGCCCGGUCAAAAACGAGGUCACAUGGUGCAUUUAAAGCAUUUAGCAUGGUGUCCGCUCUCUAAUUGAAGUAGUUUUCAUCUGAUCUUCACCAAAUUUAGUCAGAUGUUACAUCUAAAUGAUAUCUAGGUCAAGUUCAAAUAUGGGUCAUGCCAAGUCAAUAACUAGGUCUUGAGGUCACUUAGUGCAUUUCAAGCAUUGAGCAUGGUGUCCAAAACCUUCGAACGGGCGUAUCUUGUGACAGUUUGGCACUCUUGUUAACUUUGUAUGCAUAAGUAAAAAAACAGUGCUGAUCAAGUGAUGAAACUCUACAAAUAUAUUGACCAGCAUGUGAACUGAGAUCACUUAGAUAAACUAUUUUUACUGAGGUAACGCGUAGUUUGAAAGUGUUCGAGUAAUGAAACAUUGAAAUCAUUACGUGGAUUUGCGUUCCAAUGUAGUUCAAUGCAUUUUGUUUGGCAUUGUUGGAUUAAAAAAAAAUAAUGCAAAAAUAGCAAUUUAAACUUUACUUGAGUCGCAUAUGUGAAUAUCGGAUUUUAAUUUGUAAAUUGUGUUUACCGGUAUUUGAUAUUUCCAGUAAUUGUCAAAGGAGUCGGAUGGGCGAACUUUUAAAGUUAGACGUAUUUCAAUAUAUGUAUGCAUAUGAGUUUAUUGGCAAAUUAACUACCAUUUGGAGUUCUGAUGCAUUUAAUGCAAUCCCGGAGACGUUAGUCCUAUUUCCUAUGUCAGCGACUGUAUGCCCGAUUUCUGCACCAAUAAAUAUGUGGUAAAACAGUUA